GAUGAACGCUGGCGGCGUGCCUAAUACAUGCAAGUCGAGCGAACAGACGAGGAGCUUGCUCCUCUGCCGUUAGCGGCGGACGGGUGAGUAACACGUGGAUAACCUACCUAUAAGACUGGGAUCACUUAGGGAACCCGGAGCUAAUACCGGAUAAUAUAUUGAACCGCAUGGUUCAAUAGUGAAAGACGGUUUUGCUGUCACUUAUAGAUGGAUCCGCGCCGCAUUAGCUAGUUGGUAAGGUAACGGCUUACCAAGGCAACGAUGCGUAGCCGACCGGAUAGGGUGAUCAGCCACGCUGGAACUGAGACACGGUCCAGACUCCUACGGGAGGCAGCAGCAGGGAAUAUUCCGCAAUGGGCGAAAGCCUGACGGAGCAACGCCGCGUGAGUGAUGAAGGUCUUCGGAUCGUAAAACUCUGUUAGUAGGGAAGAACAAAUGUGUAAGUAACUAUGCACGUCUUGACGGUACCAAAAGAGAAAGCCACGGCUAACUACGUG
rnacentral:rRNA from 1 species